rnacentral:lncRNA from 1 species
AAACCUUAAAAAAAAAUAAACGCGUUUAAGUAAAUGCAAUGGUGUAAAAGUGACUUGANGGUAUAAAAUGCUCGCUAUUGGCAUUUACAUUCGUCCUCGAGGUCUAAUUCAUAAAUUACAUGAACUGUUCACUAAAAGUCACUCAUGGUAGGGAAUUAAGCAAAAAGCACUAAACAUUUUGUAUAAACCGCAUAACAAUCGAAUAAAAUGAAAAUGAAAACAAGCAAACCGCAAACUAUGAAGAUCUAAAAGACCGUAAACUUGAACCCAAGUGAAAAAACGUAAAAAUAAAACCUAAAUCACGUAAAUGCAAACCUUACGACUCCUCCUGAGGGCUAUUCGAUGAAUGUACUAAGACGUUGUACGUUGUAAAUACAGUCGUGAAAUGUUAAUCAUUAUUUGAUUGUUUAUUAUUAGUUGAUCAUAAUUUAUUCAUAAAAAAUAUAUUUCCAUGUCAUUACUCACAUUUUACUUCCGGUUUGCAAACUUUGCAGGUCAAGCGACAGUUCUCGGACAUCCUUCUGUUGGAGCUGCAAAGACGUUGAAAUUUCUUGCAUGUUCGUGUCCCAAACUUGUCUUCGCCUUCAUUGAAAAACGAAAAAGCGUCAUUAUAUCUGCGUCUUAAACAGAUUGAUUGUCAGCAAGUAGAUGGAGACAUCAUCCGGGACGUCAAUCAUUGCAGACGUCACUACAGCAAGGGAAACAACAAUUACCAAGAAAAUACCUUUAGACAUCUUGCUUGGAUCUGAUAGAAAAUAAAGAAAGAAAUUAUGAUAUUCUGAAAAAAUACUAGUCAUUUCAUAUAACAUAUCUAACUUGUAGAUAGAAUAUUGUAUGGAAGAUCCAUAGAAAAAUUUCUCAGGCAUCAGAAAAUAGCAUUACAGGGCUGGGAACAUGGAUAAUGACGGCUUUAAAAUUUGGCGUUACCGUUAUGAUAGAUAACAUUAACAUUUUUCUGGCAAAACCUGAUCAACAACCAAGAGAAAAACAUGAAAAAAGAAUCAAGAUUAUUAAAUAUAUCCUAGUCUCACCUUAUUCUAACCAGUCUAAGUUUCACAAUCGCAGGUUAGAGACCGACUCCCUUCUAUUUAUGUCCNCGACAUGUGUCAACGUAACAAGGGCGUUAACCGGAAUCAAAGUUGACUUUUUAUAAAAACCGAAACGAAACUGAAAUGANUGAAUAGCAAUUGUAAGAAAUGACAUUGUAGUUAGAUUUUCUGGCAAANAUAGGUCUAAAAUAAUAAAUCUUUUCAACAAUGUGAUCGCCAAAUUUNUUUCUAGAAAUUGAAAACACUGACCAUAAAAAUGUGUGUUGGUUAUGAUAAAAACCACUUGGCAGACAACCUACCAAAAAUGGCAAGACUGUCAAGGGUUGAAUCUUUACUUAUUUACCAUAAAUACUGAGUCAGAUCCCCAUUAUCACAUUGAUAAAACCGACAACUGGCGUAGUAUUACGUACAUGUUCACCAUCGAAGUUUAUGACGUCAGGUGGUUCUGCUGAUGCCAGCGUCUUUCUGUCGCCAGCGGCUCUACUUUUGUGGGGUACAGGUAUAGUAUUGAGUCAUUAGAAAUCAUAUCAAAAAAAAUAUUCGUUUUUAGGCCGUAUGAGCUUAUAAGUUUAUGAUAGUUUCGAUUGAAAUAUAUUAGUUUGUUAGUUUGGCUGUUUUGAGAGCUACUGGAAUAAGGCAUUGCUCUCAGUUUUUGAGUAGGGUAGUAGUAGAAUCCAUAGGCUAACAUCCGUCAGAGAAAAAAAGGAGUUACACUUAGCUUUAUAGGAGAAAUUUACAUGAAAUACUCAGUGCUAAAUCUGUAAUAGAAACGGAAGUCUUUUGUCUGAAAGCGCUCCUUUUAUAGAUUUAAAAAGAAAAAAUUCGUGGCGCUUUCAAUGCAAUAACGAAAGUACUUGGUAACGUACUGACAGGACGCUGAACAGGAUACGCAAAAAGCUAAACCCAAGACCGCUCGUCACAUAGACCAUCUUUUCGAUUAUGCUGAUCGAUCUGGACUCUUACCUGAGUGAAGUGCCCUGUUUUAUGGUUAAAUCCAGGAUGGGUGGUGCUCCAUGGCGUCUGCGAUAUUCAUUAUGGGCAGCAAGACACCUCCUUAUGUUGACCGACUCUACACGAUAAAAACAUUCCAUCAAUAAAUAUUUGACCGAUUAUCUAUCGAUUAAUUAUCGAUUUAUGAUGUUUAAAUAUAGUUGUUUUGCAAAUGUGACAAUUGUAAGUAUUAGCAAGUAAACACUAAUAUGGAUAAGAUGAUAAAUGAAAUAUCUUUACAGAAAGUAUAAAAAAGUGUUCCGGAAUUUUAUCAAUUAAUCCGCGCACGAAACUAACAUCAUCCCUCAUCUAUUUUACAAUCUAUCAGGGUAUCUUAAAGAAAACAAUUUAUCCACUUAAUAGCUUGAAUUAUAGCUAAUUAUUGACAUUCAUCAUGUCUGUUAACAGUUAAGUUCUCACCAGGUCUUCGUUUAAANAGAAAUGGUUCAUCNUCGACAGCGUCCCAGUCAACAAUGGCUGCCGUCACUACACCAAGAAAUGCAACUAACACCACGAGGAUAACUUUAGACAUCUUUUAAUCUAAACAGGAAAUAAUUAUAUUUGAAUUGGCUGAAUUGAACGGUUAGAGUCAGUUGUGCAUUUAGUUACAAAACUAUGUNAAUGAAGGUUACCGCUAAAUAUAUAAUUACUAUCAUGUCAUAUGUUGGAAAGAAAAAUAUACUACAUCGAUUAUGAGACUCUGCAUUUACCCAGAGAAUAUUUUAUCUAGUCCACGCCCAGGCUGAACUCCAACAGAGGCAAAGUUACCGCCAAAAUGAAACGGACUGAAAACGGAACCGUUUCCCGCCAAAACUCAAACCAGAGAUUUUUUAACAAAGCNAUCUAACGUAAAAUCACAGGAGUAUCUUAUAUUAAAGCAAAACAAAUGACAAACAACUGAUUUCAUGGUUAAAAUGCUGCUAUUUCAGUAUAGCAUGACGCUCCUCUUAGACUGUAUCCAUUUAGUUUCCGAAAGCUGACCGAUGAGGUGUGUAACCGCACUUUCUACAUGUAGAAUCAUGAAUUAUCAAUAAUCACGGAUAUUAUCAACAUGAGAAGUAUUUGACUAUCAAAACUAUAACAAAUAUAACAUGAAAUUCUGACCUGCGUCUUGUUUAUAUCUGCAGUGAUUCUGGUAGUCUGCGUCAAGAGAGGUACAAUCUUUGACUGACUGUU